rnacentral:SRP_RNA from 13 species
AAGCAGCCGUCAGCAAGAAUGGCUGUGUGCUGGGGUAUGUU